AGAAUGGAUAUUCUGUGAACGUGGAGAAAAUUAUGCUAUCCGAUUGACCGUUGAAACCAAGAACCUCCAAUGAUACCAGCUGACAUUUUCUAUGAACUCCUGUUAGAACUUGAUUUGUUGAUGUUUGUUCAUGCCAUGAAGAUGGCUGAUGCAUCUUAUUUUAAAGUCCUUCCCUGGAUCUUAUUGCAAAAGAAGGAAAUGAUUCAUGCCCAGUGUUGGAGGAUGCCUAAGAACACAAUGGAAUCUUUGAGAGAUGAAUCAGCAUCUCAGUGAAGCUGGGAGAAUCAUAAACACUCCUCAGAUCACAUGUCAAAAAACACCAAUCCAACCAUCUGGAGAAUGGUUUAGCAGUUCCAUCAGGGCUGUACUUGGUAAACGUCCCUUUAGGACCUCUUUUCCAUGCCUUCUACACUUAGGAGGAAUCAGAAAAUGGAUGGAUAAUAGUGGUAACUCUUAAUUUAAGUUGGAUCUGAGCGGCCAUACAAGUAAUACAGAAAUUAUGGGAAAAGGUUUGUGUAAUUCGUGUGUACCAAGGCCACGUGGCAGUUUGCUCCCAACAAUGUUGUAAAAGAAGAGAAAGGCUUUCUGUUUUUCCAGGAAAGAAUCUCCUAACACAUGGAACUGGACUGAAAUCAAGCACAUGGAAACAAGAAGGACAAAUAAAAAAAAAAAAAAAAAAAAAAAAGAGAAGAGGCACAAAUCUCCCCCAUGUGUGCAGAAGGGAAUGUUCUCAUACGACAUCGCAGUAACCUCGUGCAGUACAUGGAAAGGCAGUGCUGCCCCAGGGGAGGGGUGUGGAAUCAGAGGUGAGCUAAACAGUAGCCUUGAAGUCCAGUGUUACUGCCAAUGUCGCCUUCCGCCACACCUGCGCUUUCACUGUAACUGUUUCACUCCAGCCAUGAAGGCCGUCAAGAUAGCUGUGCCAAGGGCUCCAUUUUCUGAUUGGGCAUUUUUUUUUUCCUCCAAUUUAAUUCUUUUAAUAUUUCUUACUUUGAUUAUUUUUUAUUUAACUACUGUUAAUUCACUGAUUUCAGCUUAAUGAGCUCUUCCUGAGUAAAUACAUUAGUGAAUUAAACCUCAUCAGAUUCUUUUUUUCUCCCUUAA